AAAAAAUAAUGUAAAACGCAUCGAUGUAAUUGAUGCGAUGUAUCAAAAAACCUAUGUAACCACGAUUUUCAGAUGUAAUAUCACACCAUUUUGAUGCUUUAGUACAUCUACCUUGAAAUUACACAAACAAGAAACCAAAAUUUAUUAUUAAGUCUAAUCUGUGUAAUAUUGACAUCGAGAAAAUGUGAAUAUUACACAGAAACAGCUGCAACCAAGUGGUUAUGUCGAAGUUGUGUACAAUUACACAAAUGCAACACCAUAUCGCAUUCUUUUGCGAUGCAAAACUAAAUCGCGCAACACUGCUUUGUCUUUGCGGGUGCUGGCCUGGCCGACCGAGCAAGCUGCCAUAUUUGUUUCGGUGCGUUCAAAAACAAGGCGGAAAAUUGAAGAUUUUCUGUUUUAUUUGUUUUAUGCAGCUAAAAUUUCAGUCAACGGAAGCCAUCAAGGGAGCUAUCAACCACAGUACAGAUGGGAAUCGAUUGCAUUUUGCAUAGCUCGAUGUCCAGGAAGAAACGCCACCGAAAAAGGCUCGCAGGUCCGCAGUUGCGUCGGAUGUCGUCCUGUUGAGGUGGCCGGCCGCCGAAUUCACAUUAGCGAUCAUCGAUGCCACAAUGAAUUUGCUGCCAACGAUCGUGCAUCAUUCUUACCUCAACCCGAUGCAUCCAGAAAUGCAUGGAUAUGAUGACACCCUCGCAGCAACCUGAUGGGCGAUGUAGUAGUCCCUCCGAUACUGUUUUAUUUACUUCCACCUGGUUCCGGGUCGAAUAUGGAGCACAAUAUACGCUUCUACAGGCUCUCGGUCCCUCGUGGAACUGCUCAGCAGAACUUGCAUCGAUAGAAUAAGGCUCCGUAGUGAAAAGUAGCACCUUGCAGAAAAUCGGAUCGCUUCUAUUCCGGAAUCGGCAGCGUUCUAGCUGGCUGCGAAAAACUUUAUACCGCGAGGUGGUUACACAGCAGGAAUUAUAUGUUACUCCCCGGAUGCGGAUUAUUUCCUGGAGCUGUGCAUAUUAUCAGUGGAAGUGAAGCAUCAAAAAGAGAAUGAUAAUGCCGCUGUUUUCAGGCGGUACUUUAUUCACCGCUGCCGUCAUAAUGGUCGCCCCAGCUACUUUGUGCCCGCAAAAUUGGAUUUAAUUAUUAUGUAA